UUGAACGCUGGCGGCAUGCCUUACACAUGCAAGUCGAACGGCAGCGGACCUUCGGGUGCCGGCGAGUGGCGAACGGGUGAGUAAUAUAUCGGAACGUACCUUUCAGUGGGGGAUAACGUAGCGAAAGUUACGCUAAUACCGCAUAUUCUGUGAGCAGGAAAGCAGGGGAUCGCAAGACCUUGCGCUGAUUGAGCGGCCGAUAUCAGAUUAGCUAGUUGGUGAGGUAAAGGCUCACCAAGGCGACGAUCUGUAGCGGGUCUGAGAGGAUGAUCCGCCACACUGGAACUGAGACACGGUCCAGACUCCUACGGGAGGCAGCAGUGGGGAAUUUUGGACAAUGGGCGCAAGCCUGAUCCAGCCAUGCCGCGUGAGUGAAGAAGGCCUUCGGGUUGUAAAGCUCUUUCGGCCGGGAAGAAAUCGCACAGGUUAAUACCCUGUGUGGAUGACGGUACCGGAAUAAGAAGCACCGGCUAACUACGUG
rnacentral:rRNA from 1 species